rnacentral:rRNA from 1 species
GUAAUGCAUCGGAACGUAUCCCGUAGUGGGGACAACCCAGCGAAAGCUGGGCUAAUACCGCAUAUGCUCUACGAGGAAAGUGGGGACCCGCAAGGGCCUCACGCUAUGGGAGCGGCCGAUGUCCGAUUAGCUAGUUGUGGGGUAAAAGGCCCACCAAGGCGACGAUCGGUAGCUGGUCUGAGAGGAUGAUCAGCCACACUGGGACUGAGACACGGCCCAGACUCCUACGGGAGGCAGCAGUGGGGAAUUUUGGACAAUGGGGGCAACCCUGAUCCAGCCAUGCCGCGUGCGGGAAGAAGGCCUUCGGGUUGUAAACCGCUUUUGGUCGGGAAGAAAAGGCGUCUCCUAAUACGGGGCGUUCUUGACGGUACCGGCAGAAUAAGCACCGGCUAACUACGUG